AUUGAACGCUGGCGGCAUGCUUUACACAUGCAAGUCGAACGGUAACAGGUUAAGCUGACGAGUGGCGAACGGGUGAGUAAUGCAUCGGAACGUGCCCGAUCGUGGGGGAUAACGCAGCGAAAGCUGCGCUAAUACCGCAUACGAUCUGAGGAUGAAAGCGGGGGACCGUAAGGCCUCGCGCGAUCGGAGCGGCCGAUGUCAGAUUAGGUAGUUGGUGGGGUAAAGGCUCACCAAGCCAACGAUCUGUAGCUGGUCUGAGAGGACGACCAGCCACACUGGGACUGAGACACGGCCCAGACUCCUACGGGAGGCAGCAGUGGGGAAUUUUGGACAAUGGGCGAAAGCCUGAUCCAGCAAUGCCGCGUGCAGGAAGAAGGCCUUCGGGUUGUAAACUGCUUUUGUACGGAGCGAAAAGGCUCUCUCUAAUACAGGGGGCUCAUGACUGUACCGUAAGAAUAAGCACCGGCUAACUACGUGCCAGCCGCCGCCGUAA
rnacentral:rRNA from 1 species